GGUGUGUUAGCUCAGCAGGUUAGAGCACCGGCCUGUCACGUCGGAGGUCACCGGUUCGAUCCCGGUACACAUCGCCA
rnacentral:tRNA from 1 species